rnacentral:rRNA from 1 species
UACAGAGGGGGCAAGCGUUGUUCGGAAUUACUGGGCGUAAAGGGCGCGUAGGCGGCCUUCUAAGUCGAACGUGAAAUCCCCGGGCUCAACCCGGGAACUGCGUCCGAUACUGGAAGGCUUGAAUCCGGGAGAGGGAUGCGGAAUUCCAGGUGUAGCGGUGAAAUGCGUAGAUAUCUGGGAGGAACACCGGUGGCGAAGGCGGCAUCCUGGACCGGUAUUGACGCUGAGGCGCGAAAGCCAGGGGAGCAAACGGG